rnacentral:rRNA from 1 species
UGGGGAAUUUUGGACAAUGGGCGAAAGCCUGAUCCAGCAAUGCCGCGUGUGUGAAGAAGGCCUUCGGGUUGUAAAGCACUUUUGUCCGGAAAGAAAUCCUUGGCUCUAAUACAGUCGGGGGAUGACGGUACCGGAAGAAUAAGCACCGGCUAACUACGUGCCAGCAGCCGCGGUAAUACGUAGGGUGCAAGCGUUAAUCGGAAUUACUGGGCGUAAAGCGUGCGCAGGCGGUUUGCUAAGACCGAUGUGAAAUCCCCGGGCUCAACCUGGGAACUGCAUUGGUGACUGGCAGGCUAGAGUAUGGCAGAGGGGGGUAGAAUUCCACGUGUAGCAGUGAAAUGCGUAGAGAUGUGGAGGAAUACCGAUGGCGAAGGCAGCCCCCUGGGCCAAUACUGACGCUCAUGCACGAAAGCGUGGGGAGCAAACAGGAUUAGAUACCCCGGUAGUCCACGCCCCUAAACGAUGUCAACUAGUUGUUGGGGAUUCAUUUCCUUAGUAACGUAGCUAACGCGUGAAGUUGACCGCCUGGGGAGUACGGUCGCAAGAUUAAAACUCAAAGGAAUUGAC